AUCCAUCUUCUCCCUAUAAAUACCCAUUGCCAUGCAUUCAUGUAAGAGACUCAUCCACCCUUCACCAUAACUUACCUAUAUCCAUCCACCACCAUAACCUAUCACUCAUCCAUCAUACCACACAUUGUGCCGCUGCAAAGAAGAAAAAGGAGGAUUGCUUGGAGUUGUGCUAGCCAUUCAAUUUGGAUUGUUGAAGCAUUCUAGGUGUAUUCUACUUUGGUUUUCAAUGUUUAAUUUCAAUUGUUAACUAAACCCCUUUUGGCUAGGGGGAAUUUCGAAACCAUGAACAUAUUUGUGUUAUGAAUUGAUUAAUUCCAGUUGUGAUUUCAUAAAGUGUGAAUGCAAUUUGCUUAACUGUUUUAUUCAAAACUUAUUCUUGUAUGUUGAUUAAGAAGGCCUACAUAGUUUGCAUGCUUGAAUUUGAUGCUAAAAUAUAAAUGAGUUUCACCUAAUCGUUACAAAUUUAUAUUCAUGAGUAGUGAAGGUUGCUAGUCACAAUCGCAUUAAUUGAAUUCUUGGCAAACAUAUCAUGCAUUCAUAGUUACGAAUGUCUCGUCAACACUUUUGAUUUUCAUGGAACGUAAUGAUCUCUGAUUGUAUCUCUAUUAUGCAUUCAUGUAGGGGACCUUUGGAGAAUGAUUUGGGUUGUCGCAUGCAUUCAUCCAAUUCAAUGAGUAAAGGAAAAUCUGAGAGUUAAUUAGUGCAUUACGGUUAAUCUGGGGUGUUGAGCUUUAUAAUUUAUUGAAAAGCAACUGGAAAUCGUUUCAUAAGCAAGUGUGUCAUGUGUGGAGAAGGAUCAUCUAGCUAGCCCAUCAUCCAUUUAAUUCACCAAAUUCGUCAAAAAUCUGUAUAGUUCUAGUUUAUGUUUUGUUUUACUUAAAAUUCGUUAGUUUUGUGUAUCAAAUUAGUUAGAAUCUAUCUUAGUUUGUGUUUUUAAGUGUUUUGAGUCAAGUUAAAACCAAUUUUCGUUCAAAGUCAUUCCUAGUGUCUAGUUUGAGUUUAUUAAUUGUUUUAAGCUGUUUUGUGACAUGCUUGAACUAGUGUUUGUGGAUUUUACGUUGUUGUAAUUUGUUUUAUGACUUGUAUUACAAACUACAAAAUUCCUAUGUUUUAUGAGCUUUAUGUAUGUUUUCUUGAACAAUAUUUCUCAUAAUUUUUCAAUUACCAUUCAAAGAUCAUCCAUGCAAAAAUUCAUUGAAAGCGAAAAUCAUGUAAUUACUAAUUGUGGCAUGACAAAUAGAAGACGACGAUGACAAAGUUGUCGAUAACAUAUAUAUAACUUUGCGUUCUAAUAUUAACUUGGAAUCUAUAAAAUUUGGUGUUAAUUGUAAUAUUUAGUGAUUAUUUACAUAAUAGUAGAGGAUCCUUAUAAGGUGGACGUACUAAUGAGAAUACAUCACAGAAAUAUGCUAUUAACUAAAUUCUAUAAAUACUAAAACCCAGCAACUGUUCUAAAGCACAAUGAAAUGACGGAUUUGUCAUCUUCAAACGUUCUUUUCUUUCAUUUAUUUUAAGGAAAACUAAUGAAAAAGGCUUGAAAACUUUUAGUUUUAAUGAUAAGGACAAAAUAAAGGGUAAAGUGAAUAGUACCAUGUUUGACUUUUUAGUGUAAAAAUGUGGUUUUGUUAAAGUGAACAGUACCGUGGGCUUUUCGUUAAAACUCCCUUUAUUUUAUGGGGGUACAGUGAAAAGACAAGAAUGCCCAUUCUUAGGAAUGGCUCGCUCGUGGCUUUCCUCCCCCACCAUUGCUUUCUUGCUUCAAUCCGAAUCGACACGUUCCCUGACCUUUUCCUUGUUGCUGCAAUUCGAAUCCACACGACAACCUGCUCAUCCAAAUCAAUUUCUGCACGUUUCAUUUGGCAACCCUAUUCUUCCACAUCGUUCUAAACCCAAAACCCAAAUCGUUGUUGCUCAUCCAAAACCCAGACAGCCGCCACCACCACGUUUUACAAAUUCCUCUUGACUGAAGGUAAGCGAAAAUUGCCCUCUUCAUCUCCACAAGUAAAUUUGAUUAUCUAUUAAUUUCCCCCAUUUUUUUUUUUGUUUCAAAUUUACAUCGAUUGCUAGGGUUUUGGAAGGGUGUAUGGGUUUGGGUAAUAUUCAUAAACCAGGUUGCACAGACACUUUGAAACUCCAAAGUGUCAGAGUUUGUUUUUAAUCCUCCAACAUUUGACGCAUUUUAGACUAGGUUGCAUGGACACUCCGACUCGCCCCUGACAUAGGUUGGACACAACCCGGCAAGGGUAUUUUUGUAAAUUUGAAAAAUAUUUUGAAUCAAUUUGGAAACAUUGAAACAUUUGGGGCAAUUUGAAAAUACAAAACCUAAAGCCUAACAACAAAGGAAAACUAAUGAAAAUGACUUGAAAACCGUGAGUUUUAACCAAAAACCAUGUAAUAACUUUAUUUAAUGGUUAGGACAAAGCCCAAUACUAAAUCAGUCUAAUUAAAAUGGCCCAAAUAUUGAGUUUACAAUUUUAUCCCUAACGGCAACCUUUUGUCCGUUAAUCUCUCUUCAUUAUGGAUCUCUCUAAUAUUUUCUCCCCCAUUUUUUCCUGACAUUCAAAACCUUCCAUUUUUCUUUCUAAUCUCGCAUAGCAACUCCAUUUCUAUCACUAUGUAAAAACUACAGCUUCGACCCCAAACCUAAUUUUGAGCCGUCUCCAUCUCUGUGAAAAUCAGAAACGAUCUCUUACAAGCAAAACGGUAUGAUUUUGUCACUCUCUCCCUCCCUCCCAAAAUUUCUCUCUCUCUCUCUCUCUCUCUCUCUCUCUCUCUCUUCUCUGUAAAGAUGAGCAAGGGAUCUGCACUUUCACCGACAUCGGCAAAAAAGCCAAAGGUGAAUUUUUGCCCUUCCCUCCUCAUUCAUCUGAUUAUUAACGUUUCAAUUUGAUGAAGAAGAAAAGAAGAUUUCGAGGUACUAUUUUUAAUUUUUCUUCUUCAGUGGAGUUCAUCAUUUGUUUCUCCAGGAAAUAAAUUUGAGAUUUGUUAGCUUUUUGUUCAGUUUUUUUUCUUUUCAGAUACAGUGUAUUUUUUUUUCCAGAUACAAUUUUGCCAACAUUUUUUUCCAGAAACAGUGUUAUGUUUUUGUUUUCUAGAAACAGUGUUAUAUUUUGGUUUUUUUUUCAAAUACAAUGUUUGUUUGUUGAUAGGAGCAUAUUUAUGCGACUUAGUUAGCUUGUUUCUUGGCAUUUAUUUAGUUAGUUUCUACUUAUUAUAGUGAUUUAAGCUAUUUUCGUGUGUUUGUAGGUUCAAAUGACAAAGUUGGCAAGAAAGUGCAUUUUGGUGCAGUUUUGGGCUGAAUUGGAGUGCAUGCAUGUGGGGCAAGUUGAAUGGACGUUUUUGGUGCUUAAAUGAGGUUAGGAACAUGCUACAAAUUUGGAGAAACAAAUGCAAGUUGCAAGAAUGGUUGGUGCACUCACCUAACCUACCAGAAAUUGAAUGGAUGGUGCACUUACCUAAAUUGAUGGAUGGUGCACUCAUCUAACUCACCUAAAUUGAAUGGAAUGUGCACUCAUCUAACUCACCUAAUCCAUCAUCUCCCUAUAAAUACCCAUUGCCAUGCAUUCAUGUAAGAGACCCAUCUACCCUUCACCAUAACUCACCUAUAUUCAUCCACCACCAUAACCUACCACUCAUCCAUCAUUCCACACCUUGUGCCGCUGCAAAGAAGAAGGAUGAGGAUUGCUUGGAGUUGUGCUAGCCAUUCAAUUUGGAUUACUGGAGCAUUCUAGGUGUAUUCUACUUUGGUUUUCAAUGUUUAAUUUCAAUUGUUUCUAUUUAAUUGCAAGUAUGAGGAACUAAACCCCUUUUGACUAGAGGGAAUUUCGAAACCAUGAACAUAUUUGUGUUAUGAAUUGAUUAAUUCCAGUUGUGAUUUCAUAAAGUGUGAAUGCAAUUUGCUUAACUGUUUUAUUCAAAACUUAUUCUUGUAUGUUGAUUAAGAAGGCCUACAUAGUUUGCAUGCUUGAAUUUGAUGCUAGAAUAUAAAUGAGUUUCACCUUAUCGUUACAAAUUUAUAUUUAUGAGUAGUGAAGGUUGCUAGUCACAAUCGCGUUAAUUGAAUUAUUGGCAAACGUAUCAUGCAUUCAUGGUUACGAAUGUCUCGUCAACACUUAUGAUUUUCAUGGAACGUAAUGAUCUCUGAUUGUAUCUCUAUUAUGCAUUCAUGUAGGGGACAUUUG
rnacentral:lncRNA from 1 species